CACCGUGUAGUACCGUUCGAAUGUUGUUGUACAAACUUUUAAAUGAAUAAAAUAUACAAGACUGACUGACUUGUUUUAUCAAAGCGUUAUUUGUCUAUCGAAUCAUUUAGCAGAAGUGUGCGCGCAAUGUGGUCGUCGCCAAUUACUCGACCUCGGGUAUCGGCGACUUGAUUUAUGACGACGGAUCUGUAAGAUCUCAACGCAUUUAUUAAGCCACUCUUCCGAUGAAAGAUCUGGCGAGAAUUCGUGUAAAGAUACUUCUUUCUUGUUUAGACUGCGGAAACAAAUCAUGGACUCAAACUUGACACCUGAGAGAUAUACGAGACAGAAUCUUUCAUCCAUGAAUUCUCCCAAAUCGCAGCAAAAUCGUUGCAUCUUGUUUACUUCAAGUUGCAAGUCAAGCAUAAUCCAGUUGAAUCAAUAUCUUUUUUAAAUCUUUUUUUUCAAACAAUUCUAAAAACAAAAAAUUAAAUUUUCAUUAAUUUCAGGUUCUAAAAAAUGCAGCGAUAAAAUAUAGUAGAUAAAAUCCAGUGGCACAUGGAAUGCAGCAAGGAAUGCACGAUGAUUAACAUAAAUGCAUAUUGAUAUGCUUAUCGUUAUGAAAUUGAUGUCGCGACAGCUGAGACACGCUGUUUCGUAACUGCGAAGCGUUUAGAUACUGAUGAGCUUACGAGCGUGUGUGUGCAUCAGUGAUCCCGGACAGAAAAGUUAUCACUCCUUACAGUUGAAUCAAAUCAGGCUGUUUGAGCCGUCGUGAUUGGGUCAUGCCUGUGUCAAAGCACAAAAUGCAGUGACUUGCGGCGACCUAGUUGCGUGAUAAGGUGACAUUGGGCUUAUGAAUAAGUCAUACCGUUCACGAGCACGACCGUUGGAAAUUGUCUCUUGGUCCCGGAAAAUAUUUAUGAGGCAAUUACUGCUGCACGCAUACAUACUUUCAUCAAGUUGUGUGAGAGUCAACGGUAUUCAUUGUACACAGCGCGAUGAAUGGAAGGAAGUAUGUCGUAACGAACAACGCAGCAAGCUACGAUAUAUCGACAUUGGCAGAGUUCUGCAAGUAGGUGGUGUCAAGCAGAAUUUUGUCGCCAAUCUGUUAGAAGCCGAGAUCUGAAAGAACGUUUACCGCGAAGAGAGGACCAUGAUGUUGCUAUUUUGGAGAUUAUUACGUGACACACGGCUGUCGCUUGUCAAACAAAACUUUCGUGCAUCGUCAUUUACGACGGCAAAUGAUUAAAAUAAACCAUGAUUGAAAAAGGAA